rnacentral:rRNA from 1 species
GUCUCAGGCCGUAUCAGCCUGAAGGCGCCCGAUCUCGUCUGAUCUCGGAAGCUAAGCAGGGUCGGGCCUGGUUAGGAUCUUGGGUGGGAGACCACCUGGGAAUCCCGGGUGCUCGAGGCU